UACGAAGGGGGCUAGCGUUGCUCGGAAUCACUGGGCGUAAAGGGUGCGUAGGCGGGUCUUUAAGUCAGAGGUGAAAUCCUGGAGCUCAACUCCAGAACUGCCUUUGAUACUGAAGAUCUUGAGUUCGGGAGAGGUGAGUGGAACUGCGAGUGUAGAGGUGAAAUUCGUAGAUAUUCGCAAGAACACCAGUGGCGAAGGCGGCUCACUGGCCCGAUACUGACGCUGAGGCACGAAAGCGUGGGAGCAACAGGG
rnacentral:rRNA from 1 species